rnacentral:misc_RNA from 1 species
GACGGAGGGUGCUAGCGUUGUUCGGAAUCACUGGGCGUAAAGGGCGCGUAGGCGGCCUGGCAAGUCGGAUGUGAAAGCCCGGGGCUCAACCCCGGAACGGCAUCCGAGACUGUCAGGCUGGAGGCCGGAAGAGGAGGGUGGAAUACCCAGUGUAGAGGUGAAAUUCGUAGAUAUUGGGUGGAACACCGGUGGCGAAAGCGGCUCUCUGGUCCGGUUCUGACGCUGAGGCGCGAAAGCGUGGGGAGCAAACAGG